CAGGCAGAAUAGAUGAAGUCCAAAACUCAAAAGCAACAGGAUAGCGAGGAUUUUGAGAUCAAUAUGUACAUCCUGCGGACUUACAGACCAACAUAAAGUACAUCCUGCUGAUUUACAGAUCAAAAUAAAGUACAUUCUGCUGAUUUACAGACCAAACUAAAGUACAUUCUGCUGAUUUACAGACCAAAAUAAAGUACAUUCUGGUGAUUUACAGACACUUGCAUGGGCUGCUUGUAAUAAAAAGUGUCUUAAGAUGAUAAC
rnacentral:sRNA from 1 species